rnacentral:lncRNA from 1 species
AUGGAUCGUUCACUCCUCCCCAAACACAGCCAGACCCAGACGUCCCCGGCCCCCGAGGACAGCCGGACUGGGGAUUCAAGGCUUUCUCUGUUGGACAGUCCUGAUGAAGACAUGCUCUGUGCUCACACGACAGGAACAAAAGUCUUAUCAAAUGUUUUAAAGGCUCCUGAUGCGUUUCAUGAUGUCUCCAAACCUCACAACAGCACAGACUCAGACUGUUUAAAGCCUUCAGCCAUGAGCUGUAAUAUGUCUGUGUGUCCUUCCACACUAGAGAAUGAUUUCCGGGUCUGUGGUUGUUUGGGCUCAUUGCAUCUUUUACCUCAUCUAACCCAGAACCUCGUUUCCCUCAGACCUGAAUGUUUCUCUGAGCCCUACACUGGAAGCACUGAUACAUCACACUCUCCUGGGGCGACAUCAUUCAUUUCUGAGGGUUUGAUGGAGUCAUCCAUCACUGAGCUUCUCUUCAACCACAGCUCCAGCUCUGAACACAGUCCACCCACCUUGCUAACAUGUCCAUUAUCACUUCAGUCAGAAGGCUCACUUACAGGGCCUGUGUCAGAACUGAUUAUCUUUGAAAGUGACACACAAGGCUUUAUCCCGAAGGCCAGUGUAGCUCCCCAGGAGAUCAAAUGUCCCGAAUACCAAGCUGUUUCACAAACAGCGGGGGAAGAAGCAGGUGGUCACUCUAGUAAAAAUGCCUCAACGUGUGAUUCACCUGACGCGGUGACACCGCAUCGACAUGACUCUGUUAAGCAAAGAAAGCCCGGUGAUGAAUCAGGCAUGAGUCAGUACACGGGGCUUGGACCACCUGCUGUGGGUGCCUGUGACGUGGGCUUGAUGUUGGGAAGUGAUGCGAGUCAAAGAAAAGCAGAGGUCACAGGUCUGAGUCCGCACCCCGGGAGAAGCGACAGCCCGUCUGAGGUGUGGCAGGACGCGUGCCAGUAUCUGUCAGGAGAGGAUGUGAAGGAUCAGGACGUUCUGGACAAGAGGGUUCUCGCUGUGACGCAAGGAGGACUCUCCGCCACCAGCGACUUAACGUUUCACCCGGGAAAGACACAAGUGUCAGUUUACAACCCUGAAGCUGGCGACUGGAUUGGCUGGCCCAGCGAAAAGACCAGAAGACCCCCUGUGGAGAGGUGGUCGUCGGUGGACAGCUGGGCGAGCGCGCUCUCAGACUGGGCCGAGAUCAUCAGCGCUGCGCCGGAGGACGUCACGGCGGCCUGCACGGAGAUAGGUGCGGAGAUAGAGGCGCUAACGCAGGCGCUAGCAGAGGCUGACUCACCCGCAGGUGCAGAGGCAGCAGUGAAGGCGCAGUCGCAGACGCUGGAGGAAACCCAGAGCGGCCCGACGUCCUCUCACCGCUCCACGGACCAGCGCAGAAGCAUGGGUCCGGCUGAAGGUUCUGAAAGUUAUGGUGCAGAUGUGACUCCUACACUGAGCCCUGGAUCUACGUCCCCCGUAAAUCAGAGCAUUCCUCCGUUUGAUGGAUAUGUUGAAUACUUGGACACAGACAUUUUCCUCAGCAAUGGUGCAGGUGCAGUAAUUUUGAACAUUGUAGAAGAUACAGAUUUGGAGGCACAAAAUGCACCAAACAGAGAGGUAAGAUUUUACAUAAUUCUGCAUGUACGUUCAUUUAGAGGGCCAAGUCUUCCUUCAUGA